rnacentral:rRNA from 1 species
CGCGUAGGCGGGUUCUCAAGUCGGUGGUGAAAUCUUUCGGCUCAACCGGAAAAUGGCCUCCGAUACUGGGAACCUCGAGGGAGGUAGGGGCAUGCGGAACUUCGGGUGGAGCGGUGAAAUGCGUAGAUAUCCGAAGGAACGCCGGUGGCGAAAGCGGCGUGCUGGACCUCUUCUGACGCUGAUGCGCGAAAGCCAGGGGAGCAAACGGGAUUAGAUACCCCGGUAGUCCUGGCCCUAAACGAUGGGUACUGGGUUGUGGACUGGACAUGGGUUCACAGCCGAAGCAAAAGUGUUAAGUACCCCGCCUGGGGAGUAUGGUCGCAAGGCUGAA